rnacentral:rRNA from 1 species
UACAGAGGGUGCAAGCGUUAAUCGGAUUUACUGGGCGUAAAGGGCGCGUAGGUGGUUGUUUAAGUGAGAUGUGAAAUCCCCGGGCUUAACCUGGGAACUGCAUCUUAUACUGGGCAACUGGAGUGCAAUAGAGGGUAGUGGAAUUUCCGGUGUAGCGGUGAAAUGCGCAGAUAUCAGGAGGAACACCGGUGGCGAAGGCGGUUCUCUGGGCGAUUACCUGACGCUGAGGAGCGAAAGUGUGGGGAGCGGACAGG